rnacentral:snRNA from 1 species
UUAGCGACUAAGUUAAUCAGUCU